CCUACGGGAGGCAGCAGUGGGGAAUUUUGGACAAUGGGCGAAAGCCUGAUCCAGCAAUGCCGCGUGAGUGAAGAAGGCCUUCGGGUUGUAAAGCUCUUUUGUCAGGGAAGAAACGGUGAAAGCUAAUAUCUUUUGCUAAUGACGGUACCUGAAGAAUAAGCACCGGCUAACUACGUGCCAGCAGCCGCGGUAAUACGUAGGGUGCAAGCGUUAAUCGGAAUUACUGGGCGUAAAGCGUGCGCAGGCGGUUUUGUAAGUCUGAUGUGAAAUCCCCGGGCUCAACCUGGGAAUUGCAUUGGAGACUGCAAGGCUAGAAUCUGGCAGAGGGGGGUAGAAUUCCACGUGUAGCAGUGAAAUGCGUAGAUAUGUGGAGGAACACCGAUGGCGAAGGCAGCCCCCUGGGUCAAGAUUGACGCUCAUGCACGAAAGCGUGGGGAGCAAACAGGAUUAGAUACCCUGGUAGUCCACGCCCUAAACGAUGUCUACUAGUUGUCGGGUCUUAAUUGACUUGGUAACGCAGCUAACGCGUGAAGUAGACCGCCUGGGGAGUACGGUCGCAAGAUUAAAACUCAAAGGAUUGACGG
rnacentral:rRNA from 1 species